rnacentral:lncRNA from 1 species
GGGGGCAUUACCACGCAGGUGUCCAGGAGCUGGGACACCCUGUACUGACUCUUAGUCUCACAGGGAGACUCAAAGGGACAGAAGUCCUGGAGCUGGAGGGCUUGAGAAACAGGGCGGGGGGCCUUGGGCUGUGGUAUCCCAGUCAGUUAAAUUAGCACACACAGCCUUCAAGCCCUCGGCAUCCCUGGAGGACCCACAGUGAACCCCAAGAAAGAACCAGGGCAGAGGCCCUCCGGUCGUCCCCAACCCUGAUCCUCAAAUACUUUCCACUCUCGCGAAGCAGCGAGGAUCGGAAAAUACCAAGGGCUGCAGUCUCCGCCCAGCUCCGCCCCCGCCCCAGC